CCAACGGCUCUUUUGAGGGCCACCAAGAAUUACAGAAAAAGAAAAU
rfam:Daphnia pulex DAPPTscaffold_768_Cont10953, whole genome shotgun sequence.